UACAUAGGGUGCAAGCGUUGUCCGGAAUUAUUGGGCGUAAAGAGCUCGUAGGUCGUUUGCCACGUCGAUUGUGAAAAUCUGAGGCUCAACCUCAGACCUGCAGUCGAUACGGGCAAACUAGAGUGUGGUAGGGGAGACUGGAAUUCCUGGUGUAGCGGUGGAAUGCGCAGAUAUCAGGAGGAACACCAAUGGCGAAGGCAGGUCUCUGGGCCAUAACUGACACUGAGGAGCGAAAGCGCGGGGAGCGAACAGGAUUAGAUACCCUGGUAGUCCGCGCCGUAAACGAUGGGCACUAGCUGUGAGAGCCUUCCACGGUUCUCGCGACGCAGCAAACGCAUUAAGUGCCCCGCCUGGGGAGUACGAUCGCAAGAUUAAAACUCAAAGGAAUUGACGGGGCCCCGCACAAGCAGCGGAGCAUGCGGCUUAAUUCGACGCAACGCGAAGAACCUUACCAAGGCUUGACAUAUAGCGAAAAGUGGCAGAGAUGUCAUGUCCGCAAGGGCGCUAUACAGGUGGUGCAUGGUUGUCGUCAGCUCGUGUCGUGAGAUGUUGGGUUAAGUCCCGCAACGAGCGCAACCCUCGUUCUGUGUUACCAGCAUUCAGUUGGGGACUCACAGGAGACUGCCGGGGUCAACUCGGAGGAAGGUGGGGAUGACGUCAAAUCAUCAUGCCCCUUAUGUCUUGGGCUGCACGCAUGCUACAAUGGCCGGUACAAAGUGCUGCGAAAUCGUAAGAUUUAGCGAAUCACAUAAAGCCGGUCUCAGUUCGGAUUGAGGUCUGCAACUCGACCUCAUGAAGUCGGAGUUGCUAGUAAUCGUAGAUCAGCAACGCUACGGUGAAUACGUUCCCGGGGCU
rnacentral:rRNA from 1 species